UUUCCGGUUGAUCCUGCCGCCGGCCACCGCUAUCAAGUUCCGACUAAGCCAUGCGAGUCAAGGUAUCGUAAGAUGCCGGCAAACUGCUCAGUAACACGUGGAUAAUCUAACCUUGAGUAAGGGAUAACCUCGGGAAACUGAGGAUAAUACCUUAUAAUUGCUUAAAACUGGAAUGUUUAAGCAAUAAAAGUUCCGACGCUCAAGGAUGAGUCUGCGACCUAUCAGGUAGUAGGUGGUGUAAUGGACCACCUAGCCUCAGACGGGUACGGGCCCUGGGAGGGGUAGCCCGGAGAUGGACUCUGAGACAUCAGUCCAGGCCCUACGGGGCGCAGCAGGCGCGAACACUGUGCAAUGCGCGAAAGCGCGACACGGGGAGCUUGAGUGUCUUGGCAUAGCCAAGACUUUUCUCAUUCCUAAAAAGCAUGAGGAAUAAGUGCUGGGUAAGACGGGUGCCAGCCGCCGCGGUAACACCCGCAGCACAAGUGGUGGUCACUUUUAUUGAGCCUAAAGCGUUCGUAGCCGGUUUUGUAAAUCUUUAGAUAAAGCCUGAAGCUUAACUCCAGAAAGUCUGAAGAGACUGCAAGACUUGAGAUCGGGUGAGAUUAAACGUACUUUCAGGGUAGGGGUAAAAUCCUGUAAUCCCGGAAGGACGACCAGUGGCGAAAGCGUUUAACUAGAACGAAUCUGACGGUAAGGAACGAAGGCUAGGGUAGCAAACCGGAUUAGAUACCCGGGUAGUCCUAGCUGUAAACACUGCUCAUUUGAUGUUGCUUUUCCGUUGAGGGAAGGCAGUGUCGGAGCGAAGGUGUUAAAUGGGCCGCUUGGGAAGUAUGGUCGCAAGACUGAAACUUAAAGGAAUUGGCGGGGGAGCACCGCAACGGGAGGAAUGUGCGGUUUAAUUGGAUUCAACGCCGGA
rnacentral:rRNA from 1 species